GACGGGGGGGGGCAGGCGUUACCCAUCAUGACUGGGCGUAAAGGGUCCGUAGACAUUAAAGUAAGUUACUUGUGAAAUUAUUAAGUAAUACUUAAAAAUAUACUUGUCAAUACUGCUUUACUCGAGUUUUAUACAGAAGAGUACAAUUUUAUAAGUAAGGGUGAAAUCUUUAGAUAUAUAAAGGAAUUCCAGAAGCGAAGGCGAACUCUUUAGUAAAAACUGACGUUGAGGGACGAAAAGUAGUAGGGAGCAAAAGCAGGGGAAUUGAA
rnacentral:rRNA from 1 species